rnacentral:rRNA from 1 species
ACACGCAUGACACACUGCAUAUCAAUAAGCGGAGGAAAAGAAACUAACAAGGAUUCCCUUAGUAACGGCGAGUGAAGCGGGAAGAGCUCAAAUUUGAAAUCUUCAAGGUUCUACCUUGACGAAUUGUAGUUUAUAGAAGUGUUUUCUGUUAGUAGAGUGGCAAAAGUUCUUUGGAAUAGGACAUCAUAGAGGGUGAGAAUCCCGUAUUUGGUCAUUCUUUCUAGCUUUGUGAUACACUUUCAACGAGUCGGAUUGUUUGGGGAAUGCAGUCCAAAAUGGGUGGUAAAUUUCAUCUAAAGCUAAAUAUUGGCGAGAGACCGAUAGCGAACAAGUACCGUGAGGGAAAGAUGAAAAGAACUUUGAAAAGAGAGUUAAACAGUACGUGAAAUUGUCAAAAGGGAAGCGUUUGACACCAGUGUUGUUUUUCCGAAAAUCAAUUACGAAUGUUUUAGUUUUUGAGAAGUUAUGACUUCAUCGGCUUGCUUCUCUCUUUAUGAAACUUUCUUAAUGCACUUUUCGGUUAACAAGUCAACAUCAAUUUCUUUUGUUGUAAAAGGGUAUGAGGAAGGUGGCUUUCUUUUCGGAGAAAGUGUUUAUAGCCUUGUACCUCUGCAAUCGGAGAGAUUGAGGUCUGCAGCGUAGAUCCUUCGGGGUUAGAUACAUUUGUGCUAAGUUAUAGCUUUUCAUAGACAACUUGUUGACUAUGUUUAGUCUUGUAGCUUACUCGCUUAUGCUAUUUUACCUACGCUUAGGAUGUUGAAGACUCUACAGAGAU